UACCACAGUAAAUCUGCAUCUGUCAACGGAUUAUUUGUAGGUGUAAAACCACCAAUGCACCCACUUCCAUUUAGUACGUAUGUAAAAGUAGUCCUUCCCUGUAAAAUACAGCACCUUUGAUGUCAUUGUUUAAUUGAACUAAGAUACACAUUUGCAGAAAUGGGGGUUGGCCUAUUCCAUGGCUUCUUGAGAAAAAUAAUGAGGGGUGUCACGGGGUAUGACUAUAUAGGUCUUGUAGAGGAGAAACAGGCGCAUCUUUUGCGCAAGGUAUCGAAGGGCGCUAUGUUCAAAAAUCUGAAACUAGAGCUCAAAAUUUGAAAAAAAAAAUUGUUAAAAACAGGGGGUUGGCCUAUUCAAUGCUUCUAGGGAAAAAUAAUGAGGGGUGUCACGGGGUAUGACUAUAUAGGUCUUGUAGAGGAGAAACAGGCGCAUCUCUUGCGCAAGGUUUCGAAAGGCGGUAUGUUCAAAAAUCUGAAACUAGAGCUCAAAAUUUGAAAAAAAUUGUUAAAAACAGGGGGGUUGGCCUAUUCCAUGGUUUCUAGAGAAAAAUAAUGAGGAGUGUCACGGGGUAUGACUAUAUAGGUCUUGUAGAGGAGAAACAGGCGCAUCUCUUGCGCAAGGUAUCGAAUGGCGCUAUGUUCAAAAAUCUGAAACUAGAGCUCAAAAUUUGAAAAAAAUUGUUAAAAACAGGGGGGUUGGCCUAUUCCAUGGUUUCUAGAGAAAAAUAAUGAGGGAUGUCACGGGGUAUGUCUAUAUAGGUCUUGUAGAGGAGAAACAGGCGCAUCUUUUGCGCAAGGUAUCGAAGGGCGCUAUGUUCAAAAAUCUGAAACUAGAGCUCAAAAUUUGAAAAAAAGUGUUAAAAACAGGGGGGUUGGCCUAUUCAAUGGCUUUUAGAGAAAAAUAAUGAGGGGUGUCACGGGGUAUGACUAUAUAGGUCUUGUAGAGGAGAAACAGGCGCAUCUUUUGCGCAAGGUAUCGAAGGGCGCUAUGUUCAAAAAUCUGAAACUAGAGCUCAAAAUUUGAAAAAAAAAUUUGUUAAAAACAGGGGGUUGGCCUAUUCAAUGCUUCUAGGGAAAAAUAAUGAGGGGUGUCACGGGGUAUGACUAUAUAGGUCUUGUAGAGGAGAAACAGGCGCAUCUUUUGCGCAAGGUAUCGAAGGGCGCUAUGUUCAAAAAUCUGAAACUAGAGCUCAAAAUUUGAAAAAAAAAAAUUGUUAAAAACAGGGGUGUUGGCCUAUUCAAUGGCUUUUAGAGAAAAAUAAUGAGGGGUGUCACGGGGUAUGACUAUAUAGGUCUUGAAGAGGAGAAACAGGCGCAUCUCUUGCGCAAGGUAUCGAAGAGCGCUAUGUUCAAAAAUCUGAAACUAGAGCUCAAAAUUUGAAAAAAAUUGUUAAAAACAGGGGGGUUGGCCUAUUCCAUGGUUUCUAGAGAAAAAUAAUGAGGAGUGUCACGGGGUAUGACUAUAUAGGUCUUGUAGAGGAGAAACAGGCGCAUCUUUUGCGCAAGGUAUUGAAGGGCGCUAUGUUCAAAAAUCUGAAACUAGAGCUCAAAAUUUGAAAAAAAAUUGUUAAAAACAGGGGAAAUGGCCUAUUCCAUGGUUUCUAGAGAAAAAUAAUGAGGGGUGUCACGGGGUAUGACUAUAUAGGUCUUGUAGAGGAGAAACAGGCGCAUCUUUUGCGCAAGGUAUUGAAGGGCGCUAUGUUCAAAAAUCUGAAACUAAAGCUCAAAAUUUGAAAAAAAUUGUUAAAAACAGGGGGGUUGGCCUAUUCCAUGGUUUCUAGAGAAAAAUAAUGAGGGGUGUCACGGGGUAUGACUAUAUAGGUCUUGUAGAAGAGAAACAGGCGCAUCUUUUGCGGAAGGUAUCGAAGGGCGCUAUGUUCAAAAAUCUGAAACUAGAGCUCAAAAUUUGAAAAAAAAAUGUUAAAAACAGGGGGGUUGGCCUAUUCCAUGGUUUCUAGAGAAAAAUAAUGAGGGGUGUCACGGGGUAUGACUAUAAAGGUCUUGUAAAAGAGAAACAAGCGCAUCUUUUGCGCAAGGUAACGAAUGGCGCUAUGUUCAAAAAUCUGAAACUAGAGCUCAAAAUUUGAAAAAAAAAUGUUAAAAACAGGGGGGUUGGCCUAUUCCAUGACUUCUAGAGAAAAAUAAUGAGGAGUGUCACGGGGUAUUACUAAAUAGGCCUUGUAGAGGAGAAACAGGCGCAUCUUUUGCGCAAGGUGUUGAAGGGCGCUAUGUUCAAAAAUCUGAAACUAGAGCUCAAAAUUUGAAAAAAAAAUUUGUUAAAAACAGGGGGGUUGGCCUAUUCCAUGGCUUCCACAGAAAAAUAAUGAGGAGU